rnacentral:rRNA from 1 species
AACGAACGCUGGCGGCAUGCCUUACACAUGCAAGUCGAACGGCAGCAUGGAGAGCUUGCUCUCUGAUGGCGAGUGGCGAACGGGCGAGUAAUGCAUCGGAACGUACCGUGUAAUGGGGGAUAACGUAGCGAAAGUUACGCUAAUACCGCAUACGACCUGAGGGUGAAAGCAGGGGAUCGCAAGACCUUGCGUUAUACGAGCGGCCGAUGUCAGAUUAGCUAGUUGGUGAGGUAAAGGCUCACCAAGGCGACGAUCUGUAGCGGGUCUGAGAGGAUGAUCCGCCACACUGGGACUGAGACACGGCCCAGACUCCUACGGGAGGCAGCAGUGGGGAAUUUUGGACAAUGGGGGCAACCCUGAUCCAGCCAUGCCGCGUGAGUGAAGAAGGCCUUCGGGUUGUAAAGCUCUUUCGGCCGGGAAGAAAUCGCACAGGCUAAUACUCUGUGUGGAUGACGGUACCGGCAUAAGAAGCACCGGCUAACCACGUGCCAGCCGCCGCAGUAA